UCUUAAAGAGGUAUCUCCUAUGAGGCACAUGGGUUACACAUAUGCUUAGAAGACUCAGUCCUCUCCUGGUGCAGUCCCCCUUCCUCAUGCUUCCAGCUGCUGAAUUUAACUUUGAGGUUACAAGUUUCCUGUUUUUCUGCUAAUAGUACAUUAGCCUUCAAAGCCUGAAGGGGGAAUAGGCCAAAAAAGGGAAAGCAGCAGUGGAAGGAUGACAAAAGGAUUUGUUAGAAUUGUCUGUAUUCCUGCAUACACACACAGAGCAGUGGUUGCAGAGAAAAUAUCCAGAGAAAAAAAAGACUAGAUGGUGGUAGUCAAUUACUGAACGUGCCUAGUUGUUGUUUAAAGGCAGUGUGGGAAUCACCAUUGCAGGAGGGAAAACAAGAUGGAUCGUGGCAGAACUCUUCAUGAUAGUGCCCUAGGGAAAGAAGAGCAAUACCCCCGUACCACUUUAUGAAUGAAAUGAAAUGAUAGAGCCAUCCAAGAACAGCACCAUCCACUCCUCGUGCAAUCUUCAACUGAGUUAACACCACCUCAUGAUUAACGGUACCAAAGGCUGCUGACAGAUAAAUUGUAUCAGCAUGGACACCUUAAUUUCAUCCACAGCUAAGAGAUUAUGUACCAGCACGACCAGUGCAGUUUCUUUUCCAUAUCCAGGAACCAGAUUGAUUGACAAAAGUCAAGGAGAUCUGAGCUAGAGAUG